CGUUUACAUUUUGCGCGGAAACUGAUACAUUAUGUAGUUGCUAAUGGUACAUAUUUUAACUCUUUUCAGCCGCUGAUGAUGGAAGCAUUCAGUGAUUUUAGACGCUUGCCAGGCGACUGCAGGCCAGUAUUGAAAGUAGUCUUCUACAUCUUCAUGCCAACUUUCAUAAAUUUUUCCAUAGCUUUCGUCAAAGCAAGGCUGGAAUUGUCAGACGAGAUGGAAUGCGUCCUCGAUCGUGUAUCGUUACUGUGCUUGGGCUUCAUGUUUGUGUUGACCUACCUCGUGAUGAGAAGAGCUUGCGACAUUUGGACGAGACCUCGACUGUGGAACUCAAACUUGAGGACCGCCUACCUGUAUGCGUCAGAUGGGGUGUCGGCGUCACACAUCCGAAACUAGAAGAACCUUGCAUGCAGAUUCACAAUAGGAAACUAUUUAAUUUGCUUGAAUGGGUCAAUGAGUGCAAAUCUAUAUCCGGAUUUUAGUAGUUGACGCAAAAUAUUUUACUGAUGGACAAUCAAUGUUAAAUUUUAAUCAUAGAAUUUCAGAGCGUACGCUAAUGAAAUAAAUUUGAUGGAACAGAAAUAAAGUCGAAUUCUGGA
rnacentral:lncRNA from 1 species